rnacentral:tRNA from 1 species
CCCUGGUUAGCUGGGUAGAGCGCUCCACCUGUAAUGGAGAGGUCCCGGGUUCGAUACCCGGACUAGGCG